CUUCGGUGUAACAAAAUAAAAAUUAUUCUUUUUUAGUCAUAUCGGAAAAACGAUAUUUAAUUCACGCAAAGCAGUCGCUGGGUGAAUAACGUUAUUCAAUAUUGUUUGUUUUUAUGACUGUACGUACCUAUUUUGAUAAGAAUAGUGUGUUUAAUGUUUUAUUAAAAUUUAGUGAAUAAAUAGAAAUCAAAAAAAAAAAGAACAGUGACCAAAUAAAUGGUUUUUGUUUUUUUUGUGAUGUGUAACACACGGGUAACAUAAAUAAAUAACGGAGUAAUUACUUGUAUGUAAAAUUAUACGCUUUAUAAUAUUUUUUCAAGGAAACCAAAGCUUUGACGGUAAAAAAAGGAUCGACUUUUUAAGUUUAAAAAACCAGUUACAUAUGUCUGGCCGAGAUAGAUAUAUUGGAGGAAUUUGGGAGUCUGGAUCAGCAAAAA